CGUGUUAGUGGAAGGCCUCUGGAAGGGGUCGCCGUAGAGGGUGAGAGCCCCGUACACGAAAACACGACGUCUCCCGGACGUGUUUCCCAAGUAGCACCGAGCCCGUGAAAUUCGGUGUGAAUCUGGCGGGACCACCCGCUAAGCCUAAAUACUCCCUGGUGACCGAUAGCGGACAAGUACCGUGAGGGAAAGGUGAAAAGUACCCCGGGAGGGGAGUGAAAUAGUACCUGAAACCGUGUGCCUACAAGCCGUGAGAGCCUUAAGCGUUUCGGCGCUGGGGUGAUUGCGUGCCUUUUGAAGAAUGAGCCUGCGAGUUAGUGGUACGUGGCGAGGUUAACCCGUGUGGGGCAGCCGUAGCGAAAGCGAGUCCGAACAGGGCGAUCUAUAGUCGCGUGCCCUAGACCCGAAGCCGAGUGAUCUACCCAUGGCCAGGUUGAAGCGCGGGUAAGACCGCGUGGAGGACCGAACCCACCAGGGUUGAAAACCUGGGGGAUGAGCUGUGGGUAGGGGUGAAAGGCCAAUCAAACUCGGUGAUAGCUGGUUCUCCCCGAAAUGCAUUUAGGUGCAGCGUCACGUGUUUCUUGCCGGAGGUAGAGCACUGGAUGGCUGAGGGGCCCCACAAGGUUACUGACGUCAACCAAACUCCGAAUGCCGGUAAGUGAGAGCGUGGCAGUGAGACUGCGGGCGAUAAGGUUCGUAGUCGAGAGGGAAACAGCCCAGAUCAUCGGCUAAGGCCCCUAAGCGUGUGCUAAGUGGAAAAGGAUGUGGAGUCGCAGAGACAACCAGGAGGUUGGCUUAGAAGCAGCCACCCUUGAAAGAGUGCGUAAUAGCUCACUGGUCAAGUGAUUCCGCGCCGACAAUGUAGCGGGGCUCAAGCACACCGCCGAAGCCGUGGCAUUCACACUUUACCCGUCGGUCCUUGUGUGGGCCGGCCAGGUGUGUGGAUGGGUAGGGGAGCGUCGUGUGGCGGUCGAAGCGGCGGAGGGAUCCAGCCGUGGACGCCACGCGAGUGAGAAUGCAGGCAUGAGUAGCGAGAGGGGAGUGAGAAACUCCCCCGCCGGAAGACCAAGGGUUCCUGGGCCAGGCUAAUCCGCCCAGGGUGAGUCGGGACCUAAGGCGAGGCCGACAGGCGUAGUCGAUGGACAACGGGUUGAUAUUCCCGUACCCGCGAAGGAACGCCCAUGCCGGACCCAGCGAUGCUAACCGCCCGAAGCCCGGUUCCGAUCCUUUCGAGGUGAGGUUCCGGUUCUAGCGCGGGACCCGGACUGGUAGUAGGCAAGCGAUGGGGUGACGCAGGAAGGUAGUCCUACCGGUGAGUGGUAGUACCGGUGCAAGGGUGUGGCCCGCGGAAUAGGUAAAUCCGUUCCGCAUGCAGGGUGAGGCCCGACGCAUAGCCGAAUGAGGCGAAUUGGAUGAUCCUAUGCUGCCGAGAAAAGCCUCUAGCGAGUUCCGAGCGGCCCGUACCCCAAACCAACUCAGGUGGUCAGGUAGAGAAUACCGAGGCGAUCGAGCGAACUGUGGUUAAGGAACUCGGCAAAAUGCCCCCGUAACUUCGGGAGAAGGGGGACCCUUGACCGUGAACCGCCUUGCGCGGGGCAGCGGUGGGGGGUCGCAGAGACCAGUGAGAAGCGACUGUUUACUAAAAACACAGGUCCGUGCGAAGUCGUAAGACGAUGUAUACGGACUGACGCCUGCCCGGUGCUGGAACGUUAAGGGGACGGGUUAGCCGCAAGGCGAAGCUCAGAACUCAAGCGCCAGUAAACGGCGGUGGUAACUAUAACCAUCCUAAGGUAGCGAAAUUCCUUGUCGGGUAAGUUCCGACCUGCACGAAUGGCGUAACGACUUCUCAGCUGUCUCAACCACAGGCUCGGCGAAAUUGCACUACGAGUAAAGAUGCUCGUUACGCGCGGCAGGACGGAAAGACCCCGGGACCUUUACUAUAGCUUGAUAUUGGUGUUCGGUUCGGCUUGUGUAGGAUAGGUGGGAGACUGCGAAGUCCGCACGCCAGUGUGGAUGGAGUCGCCGUUGAAAUACCACUCUGGUCGAAUUGGAUGUCUAACCUCGGUCCGUGAUCCGGAUCAGGGACAGUGUCAGGUGGGUAGUUUAACUGGGGCGGUUGCCUCCCAAAAUGUAACGGAGGCGCCCAAAGGUUCCCUCAGCCUGGUUGGCAAUCAGGUGUCGAGUGCAAGUGCACAAGGGAGCUUGACUGCGAGACCGACGGGUCGAGCAGGAGCGAAAGCUGGGACUAGUGACCCGGCACCGGCAUGUGGAAGCGGUGUCGCUCAACGGAUAAAAGGUACCCCGGGGAUAACAGGCUGAUCUUCCCCAAGAGUCCAUAUCGACGGGAUGGUUUGGCACCUCGAUGUCGGCUCGUCGCAUCCUGGGGCUGGAGUAGGUCCCAAGGGUUGGGCUGUUCGCCCAUUAAAGCGGUACGCGAGCUGGGUUUAGAACGUCGUGAGACAGUUCGGUCCCUAUCCGCCGCGCGCGUAAGAGACUUGAGAAGAGCUGUCCCUAGUACGAGAGGACCGGGACGGACGAACCUCUGGUGUGCCAGUUGUACCGCCAGGUGCACUGCUGGUUGGCCACGUUCGGCAGGGAUAACCGCUGAAAGCAUCUAAGCGGGAAGCUCGCUUCAAGAUGAGGUCUCUCACCGGGUCAACCGGGUAAGGCCCCCGCCCAGACCAGCGGGUUGAUAGGCCGGAAGUGGAAGCACCGCAAGGUGUGUGAGCUGACCGGUACUAACAGGCCGAGGGCUUGACCAC
rnacentral:rRNA from 1 species